GACGAACGCUGGCGGCGUGCUUAACACAUGCAAGUCGAACGAAGUGGCGAACGGGUGAGUAACGCGUAAUCAACCUGCCCUUCAGCGGGGGACCACAGUUGGAAACGACUGCUAAUACCGCAUACUGAAGGAGGGGAUUGCGUCUGAGUAGCUAGUUGGAGGGGUAACGGCCCCCCAAGGCGAUGAUCAGUAGCCGGUCGGAGAGGAUGAACGGCCACAUGGGGACUGAGACACGGCCCAGACUCCUACGGGAGGCAGCAGGGGGGAAUCUUCCGCAAUGGACGAAAGUCUGACGGAGCAACGCCGCGUGAGUGAUGACGGCCUUCGGGUUGUAAAGCUCUGUUAAUCGGGACGCGGUACCGGAAUAGAAAGCCACGGCUAACUACGUGCCAGCAGCCGCGGUAAUUC
rnacentral:rRNA from 1 species